GUGAGGUCAGUAUUAUCAAAUUGAAUUACAUGGUACAUGUAAAUUUUGGUUGGCUUAAAGGUUCAGGGUUUCAUUGUUGAUUAUUGGUUUAUGUUUAUAUUUCUUUGGAGAAUAGUGCUGAGGUUGAAAAAGGUUAAAAUAAUUGACAAAUACAAUAAUAGACCAAGAAACAAUAUCAAACACAGGAAAUUAGUGCUAGUAAUGUAGAAUAGAGAGGAGAGGUAAAUGACUGAUUCUUAGUAAUCUCGGUUAUUCCUCUGUGUCUAGCAGCGGGACGACCGCUGAUGCAAAA